GCCCUCGUAGCUCAUCUGGAUAGAGCGGAUGCCUCCUAAGCGUCAGGUAGCAGGUUCGAGUCCUGCCGAGGGCACCA
rnacentral:tRNA from 1 species